UACGGAGGGUGCAAGCGUUAUCCGGAUUCACUGGGUUUAAAGGGUGCGUAGGUGGGUCUGUAAGUCAGUGGUGAAAUCUCCAAGCUUAACUUGGAACUGCCGUUGAUACUAUAGACCUUGAAUGCUGUGGAGGUGAGCGGAAUAUGUCAUGUAGCGGUGAAAUGCUUAGAUAUGACAUAGAACACCAAAUUGCGAAGGCAGCUCACUACCCA
rnacentral:rRNA from 1 species